UACAGAGGGGGCAAGCGUUAUUCGGAAUUAUUGGGCGUAAAGGGCGCGUAGGCGGCUUUGCAAGUGACGGGUGAAAUCCCUCGGCUUAACCGAGGAACUGCCUGUCAGACUGCAUGGCUUGAGACCGGGAGAGGUGAGUGGAAUUCCCAGUGUAGCGGUGAAAUGCGUAGAUAUUGGGAGGAACACCAGUGGCGAAGGCGGCUCACUGGACCGGUACUGACGCUGAUGCGCGAAAGCGUGGGGAGCAAACAGG
rnacentral:rRNA from 1 species